GAAAUGCGAUAAGUAAUGUGAAUUGCAGAAUUCAGUGAAUCAUCGAAUCUUUGAACGCACAUUGCGCCCCCUGGUAUUCCGGGGGGCAUGCCUGUUCGAGCGUCAUUUCACCACUCAAGCCUCGCUUGGUAUUGGGCAACGCGGUCCGCCCCGUGCCUCAAAUCGACCGGCUGGGUCUUCUGUCCCCUAAGCGUUGUGGAAACUAUUCGCUAAAGGGUGUUCGGGAGGCUACGCCGUAAAACAACCCCAUUUCUAAGGUUGACCUCGGAUCAGGUAGGGAUACCCGCUGAACUUAAGC
rnacentral:misc_RNA from 1 species